UAGUGCUAAUCUCAAUUUUCACAAGAUGUCCAAGUAUCCAUCCUCCAAUGAUGAUCUACACAGAAAUUGAACCAAGGACAGUGCUCCUUCUUCACCUUGCUUCAAGCGUUCUAGCCCCUAGAACUCAAUCAGCCACCAAUCGAUCAGAUCUUCCUCCAGACCUGAGUUUGAACCUUUCUAAACCAUCCACUGGACUUGACCAUCUUUUUUUGGACCUCUUAAACCCUUAGACC
rnacentral:lncRNA from 1 species